UUAAGCGACUAAGCGUACACGGUGGAUGCCCUGGCAGUCAGAGGCGAUGAAGGACGUGCUAAUCUGCGAAAAGCGUCGGUAAGGUGAUAUGAACCGUUAUAGCCGGCGAUGUCCGAAUGGGGAAACCCAGUGUGAUUCGUCACACUAUCGUUAACUGAAUACAUAGGUUAACGAGGCGAACCGGGGGAACUGAAACAUCUAAGUACCCCGAGGAAAAGAAAUCAACCGAGAUUCCCCCAGUAGCGGCGAGCGAACGGGGAGCAGCCCAGAGUCUGAAUCAGCUUGUGUGUUAGUGGAACGGUCUGGAAAGUCCGACGGUACAGGGUGAUAGUCCCGUACACCAAAAUGCACAGGCUGUGAACUCGAAGAGUAGGGCGGGACACGUGGUAUCCUGUCUGAAUAUGGGGGGACCAUCCUCCAAGGCUAAAUACUCCUGACUGACCGAUAGUGAACCAGUACCGUGAGGGAAAGGCGAAAAGAACCCCGGCGAGGGGAGUGAAAAAGAACCUGAAACCGUGUACGUACAAGCAGUGGGAGCACCUUCGGGUGUGACUGCGUACCUUUUGUAUAAUGGGUCAGCGACUUAUAUUCUGUAGCAAGGUUAACCGUAUAGGGGAGCCGCAGGGAAACCGAGUCUUAACUGGGCGUUAAGUUGCAGGGUAUAGACCCGAAACCCGGUGAUCUAGCCAUGGGCAGGUUGAAGGUUGGGUAACACUAACUGGAGGACCGAACCGACUAAUGUUGAAAAAUUAGCGGAUGACUUGUGGCUGGGGGUGAAAGGCCAAUCAAACCGGGAGAUAGCUGGUUCUCCCCGAAAGCUAUUUAGGUAGCGCCUCGUGAAUUCAUCUUCGGGGGUAGAGCACUGUUUCGGCUAGGGGGUCAUCCCGACUUACCAACCCGAUGCAAACUACGAAUACCGAAGAAUGUUAUCACGGGAGACACACGGCGGGUGCUAACGUCCGUCGUGAAGAGGGAAACAACCCAGACCGCCAGCUAAGGUCCCAAAGUCAUGGUUAAGUGGGAAACGAUGUGGGAAGGCACAGACAGCCAGGAUGUUGGCUUAGAAGCAGCCAUCAUUUAAAGAAAGCGUAAUAGCUCACUGGUCGAGUCGGCCUGCGCGGAAGAUGUAACGGGGCUAAACCAUGCACCGAAGCUGCGGCAGCGACACUAUGUGUUGUUGGGUAGGGGAGCGUUCUGUAAGCCUGCGAAGGUGUGCUGUGAGGCAUGCUGGAGGUAUCAGAAGUGCGAAUGCUGACAUAAGUAACGAUAAAGCGGGUGAAAAGCCCGCUCGCCGGAAGACCAAGGGUUCCUGUCCAACGUUAAUCGGGGCAGGGUGAGUCGACCCCUAAGGCGAGGCCGAAAGGCGUAGUCGAUGGGAAACAGGUUAAUAUUCCUGUACUUGGUGUUACUGCGAAGGGGGGACGGAGAAGGCUAUGUUAGCCGGGCGACGGUUGUCCCGGUUUAAGCAUGUAGGCUGGUUGUCCAGGCAAAUCCGGAUAAUCAAGGCUGAGGUGUGAUGACGAGGCACUACGGUGCUGAAGUAACAAAUGCCCUGCUUCCAGGAAAAGCCUCUAAGCAUCAGGUAACAUUAAAUCGUACCCCAAACCGACACAGGUGGUCAGGUAGAGAAUACCAAGGCGCUUGAGAGAACUCGGGUGAAGGAACUAGGCAAAAUGGUGCCGUAACUUCGGGAGAAGGCACGCUGGUGUGUAGGUGAAGCCCCUGCGGGUGGAGCUGAGACCAGUCGAAGAUACCAGCUGGCUGCAACUGUUUAUUAAAAACACAGCACUGUGCAAACACGAAAGUGGACGUAUACGGUGUGACGCCUGCCCGGUGCCGGAAGGUUAAUUGAUGGGGUUAUCCGUAAGGAGAAGCUCUUGAUCGAAGCCCCGGUAAACGGCGGCCGUAACUAUAACGGUCCUAAGGUAGCGAAAUUCCUUGUCGGGUAAGUUCCGACCUGCACGAAUGGCGUAAUGAUGGCCAGGCUGUCUCCACCCGAGACUCAGUGAAAUUGAACUCGCUGUGAAGAUGCAGUGUACCCGCGGCAAGACGGAAAGACCCCGUGAACCUUUACUAUAGCUUGACACUGAACAUUGAGCCUUGAUGUGUAGGAUAGGUGGGAGGCUUUGAAGCGUGGACGCCAGUCUGCGUGGAGCCAACCUUGAAAUACCACCCUUUAAUGUUUGAUGUUCUAACGUUGGCCCCUUACCGGGGUUGCGGACAGUGUCUGGUGGGUAGUUUGACUGGGGCGGUCUCCUCCCAAAGCGUAACGGAGGAGCACGAAGGUUAGCUAAUCCUGGUCGGACAUCAGGAGGUUAGUGCAAUGGCAUAAGCUAGCUUGACUGCGAGCGUGACGGCGCGAGCAGGUGCGAAAGCAGGUCAUAGUGAUCCGGUGGUUCUGAAUGGAAGGGCCAUCGCUCAACGGAUAAAAGGUACUCCGGGGAUAACAGGCUGAUACCGCCCAAGAGUUCAUAUCGACGGCGGUGUUUGGCACCUCGAUGUCGGCUCAUCACAUCCUGGGGCUGAAGUAGGUCCCAAGGGUAUGGCUGUUCGCCAUUUAAAGUGGUACGCGAGCUGGGUUUAGAACGUCGUGAGACAGUUCGGUCCCUAUCUGCCGUGGGCGCUGGAGAAUUGAGGGGGGCUGCUCCUAGUACGAGAGGACCGGAGUGGACGCAUCACUGGUGUUCGGGUUGUCAUGCCAAUGGCACUGCCCGGUAGCUAAAUGCGGAAGAGAUAAGUGCUGAAAGCAUCUAAGCACGAAACUUGCCCCGAGAUGAGUUCUCCCUGAGACUUUAAGUCUCCUGAAGGAACGUUGAAGACGACGACGUUGAUAGGCCGGGUGUGUAAGCGCAGCGAUGCGUUGAGCUAACCGGUACUAAUGAACCGUGAGGCUUAACCUU
rnacentral:rRNA from 1 species